rnacentral:rRNA from 1 species
AUGGCGGCGGCGGCGCGGGAUGGGGAAGCGAGGCGGGCGCACGCGGCGAUGGUGGGGUCGCAGUUCAUCAACGCGGGGUACCACGUCAUCGCGAAGCAGGCGCUCAACGUCGGCGUCAACCGCGUCGUCUUCUGCGUCUACCGCGACCUCCUCGCGCUCUGCGUGCUUGCUCCCAUCGCCUUCUUCCGCCACCGCGGCUCGCCCGCGCAGGCUCGUCCGCCGCCCGUCACGCGUCGCCUCCUUACCUCCUUCUUCUUCCUCGGGCUCACGGGCAUCUUUGGCAACCAGCUACUGUUCUUGUUCGGCCUCGGCUACACCAAUCCAACCUACGCCGCCGCCAUUCAGCCGUCAAUUCCCGUCUUCACUUUCAUCUUGGCCCUCAUCAUGGGCACUGAAACGGCGAGCUUGGUCACACACGAGGGCCGUGCCAAGGUUGGUGGCACAAUCGUCUGUGUGCUUGGUGCUGUUCUCAUGGUGUUGUACAGGGGGGCAGCUGUGUUUGGUAGCAGCGAGCUAGAUCUUGAUGUUCAUAGCAAUGUCGUCAUCACCGAGAUGUUGCAACCUGAGCCAGGAUCAUCUUGGUUCAUUGCAUAUGGGCUGGAAAAGUGGCAUAUCGGAGUGUUAUGUUUAAUAGGGAACUGCCUCUGUAUGGCAACUUAUCUUGCUUUGCAGGCUCCAAUUUUGGUGAAGUACCCUUGCAGUUUAUCAUUGACAGCUUACUCAUACUUUUUUGGAGCUCUUUUAAUGCUUAUUUCCGGAGUUUUUUCAACAACCAGUAAAGAAGAUUGGACUUUGACUGCAUCUGAGUUUGCGGCUGUUGUAUAUGCUGGAGUUGUUUCAUCUGCUCUUAAUACUGGUUUACUGACAUGGUCCAACAAAAUUCUGGGCCCAGCUAUGGUGGCACUAUAUAUGCCUCUCCAGCCAGUGCUCUCUGCUCUCUUGUCAGUGCUCUUUCUGGGCAGUCCAAUUUAUUUCGGAAGUAUUAUUGGAGGGUUUCUAAUCAUCUCUGGUUUAUACAUUGUCACCUGGGCGCGACGUAGAGAAAAGUUGACUGCCACUGGAGUACCUUAUGUAAAAUGCGCAUUGGAGCCAUGCGACGGUGCUUCUCAAGUCAUAAAGGGCGGUAACCUCAGCCCCAGGCCCUUUAUAUCCCUUUCUAGGCUGUGGAAUGUUCCACAUGAAUCUUGA